rnacentral:rRNA from 1 species
AGCAGCCGCGGUAAUUCCAGCUCCAAUAGCGUAUAUUAAAGUUGUUGCAGUUAAAAAGCUCGUAGUUGAAUUUCGGGAUUAACGUGAUGGUCGUACCUUAAGGGGUAUGAACUGUCGCUGUUGAUUUCUCACCUUCUGGAGAAACUUGAUGUCCUUAAUUGGGUGUCUUGCGGAUCCAGGACCUUUACCUUGAAAAAUUAGAGUGUUUAAAGCAGGCAUUUUUGCUCGAAUACAUUAGCAUGGAAUAAUAGAAUAGGACGGCAUGGUUCUAUUUUGUUGGUUUCUAGGAUCACCGUAAUGAUUAAUAGGGAUAGUUGGGGGCAUUAGUAUUCAAUUGUCAGAGGUGAAAUUCUUGGAUUUAUUGAAGACUAACUACUGCGAAAGCAUUUGCCAAGGAUGUUUUCAUUAAUCAAGAACGAAAGUUAGGGGAUCGAAGACGAUCAGAUACCGUCGUAGUCUUAACCAUAAAACUAU